rnacentral:tRNA from 2 species
GCCCGGGUGGCGGAACAGGCAGACGCGGCGUCUUGAGGGGGCGCUGGCCCUUCAGGCCGUGCGGGUUCAAAUCCCGCCCCGGGCACCA